rnacentral:rRNA from 1 species
AACUUUCAACAACGGAUCUCUUGGUUCCGGCAUCGAUGAAGAACGCAGCGAAAUGCGAUAAGUAAUGUGAAUUGCAGAAUUCCGUGAAUCAUCGAAUCUUUGAACGCACAUUGCGCCCUCUGGUUAUUCCGGAGGGCAUGCCUGUUCGAGCGUCAUUGCAAACCCCUCAAGCACG